GCGUCGACCGCUCCAGUGGCCUAAUAGAGCGUCCGCCUUGGAUGUGGGAGGUCGUGGGUUCGAUCCCCGGUCGAGACA